rnacentral:rRNA from 1 species
CGGGACACGUGGUAUCCUGUCUGAAUAUGGGGGGACCAUCCUCCAAGGCUAAAUACUCCUGACUGACCGAUAGUGAACCAGUACCGUGAGGGAAAGGCGAAAAGAACCCCGGCGAGGGGAGUGAAAAAGAACCUGAAACCGUGUACGUACAAGCAGUGGGAGCCUCUUAAUGGGGUGACUGCGUACCUUUUGUAUAAUGGGUCAGCGACUUAUAUUCUGUAGCAAGGUUAACCGAAUAGGGGAGCCGAAGGGAAACCGAGUCUUAACUGGGCGUUAAGUUGCAGGGUAUAGACCCGAAACCCGGUGAUCUAGCCAUGGGCAGGUUGAAGGUUGGGUAACACUAACUGGAGGACCGAACCGACUAAUGUUGAAAAAUUAGCGGAUGACUUGUGGCUGGGGGUGAAAGGCCAAUCAAACCGGGAGAUAGCUGGUUCUCCCCGAAAGCUAUUUAGGUAGCGCCUCGUGAAUUCAUCUCCGGGGGUAGAGCACUGUUUCGGCAAGGGGGUCAUCCCGACUUACCAACCCGAUGCAAACUGCGAAUACCGGAGAAUGUUAUCACGGGAGACACACGGCGGGUGCUAACGUCCGUCGUGAAGAGGGAAACAACCCAGACCGCCAGCUAAGGUCCCAAAGUCAUGGUUAAGUGGGAAACGAUGUGGGAAGGCCCAGACAGCCAGGAUGUUGGCUUAGAAGCAGCCAUCAUUUAAAGAAAGCGUAAUAGCUCACUGGUCGAGUCGGCCUGCGCGGAAGAUGUAACGGGGCUAAACCAUGCACCGAAGCUGCGGCAGCGACACUAUGUGUUGUUGGGUAGGGGAGCGUUCUGUAAGCCUGUGAAGGUGUACUGUGAGGUAUGCUGGAGGUAUCAGAAGUGCGAAUGCUGACAUAAGUAACGAUAAAGCGGGUGAAAAGCCCGCUCGCCGGAAGACCAAGGGUUCCUGUCCAACGUUAAUCGGGGCAGGGUGAGUCGACCCCUAAGGCGAGGCCGAAAGGCGUAGUCGAUGGGAAACAGGUUAAUAUUCCUGUACUUGGUGUUACUGCGAAGGGGGGACGGAGAAGGCUAUGUUGGCCGGGCGACGGUUGUCCCGGUUUAAGCGUGUAGGCUGGUUUUCCAGGCAAAUCCGGAAAAUCAAGGCUGAGGCGUGAUGACGAGGCACUACGGUGCUGAAGCAACAAAUGCCCUGCUUCCAGGAAAAGCCUCUAAGCAUCAGGUAACAUCAAAUCGUACCCCAAACCGACACAGGUGGUCAGGUAGAGAAUACCAAGGCGCUUGAGAGAACUCGGGUGAAGGAACUAGGCAAAAUGGUGCCGUAACUUCGGGAGAAGGCACGCUGAUAUGUAGGUGAAGUCCCUUGCGGAUGGAGCUGAAAUCAGUCGAAGAUACCAGCUGGCUGCAACUGUUUAUUAAAAACACAGCACUGUGCAAACACGAAAGUGGACGUAUACGGUGUGACGCCUGCCCGGUGCCGGAAGGUUAAUUGAUGGGGUUAGCGGUAACGCGAAGCUCUUGAUCGAAGCCCCGGUAAACGGCGGCCGUAACUAUAACGGUCCUAAGGUAGCGAAAUUCCUUGUCGGGUAAGUUCCGACCUGCACGAAUGGCGUAAUGAUGGCCAGGCUGUCUCCACCCGAGACUCAGUGAAAUUGAACUCGCUGUGAAGAUGCAGUGUACCCGCGGCAAGACGGAAAGACCCCGUGAACCUUUACUAUAGCUUGACACUGAACAUUGAGCCUUGAUGUGUAGGAUAGGUGGGAGGCUUUGAAGUGUGGACGCCAGUCUGCAUGGAGCCGGCCUUGAAAUACCACCCUUUAAUGUUUGAUGUUCUAACGUUGGCCCCUGAUCGGGGUUGCGGACAGUGUCUGGUGGGUAGUUUGACUGGGGCGGUCUCCUCCUAAAGAGUAACGGAGGAGCACGAAGGUUGGCUAAUCCUGGUCGGACAUCAGGAGGUUAGUGCAAUGGCAUAAGCCAGCUUGACUGCGAGCGUGACGGCGCGAGCAGGUGCGAAAGCAGGUCAUAGUGAUCCGGUGGUUCUGAAUGGAAGGGCCAUCGCUCAACGGAUAAAAGGUACUCCGGGGAUAACAGGCUGAUACCGCCCAAGAGUUCAUAUCGACGGCGGUGUUUGGCACCUCGAUGUCGGCUCAUCACAUCCUGGGGCUGAAGUAGGUCCCAAGGGUAUGGCUGUUCGCCAUUUAAAGUGGUACGCGAGCUGGGUUUAGAACGUCGUGAGACAGUUCGGUCCCUAUCUGCCGUGGGCGCUGGAGAACUGAGGGGGGCUGCUCCUAGUACGAGAGGACCGGAGUGGACGCAUCACUGGUGUUCGGGUUGUCAUGCCAAUGGCACUGCCCGGUAGCUAAAUGCGGAAGAGAUAAGUGCUGAAAGCAUCUAAGCACGAAACUUGCCCCGAGAUGAGUUCUCCCUGACUCCUUGAGAGUCCUGAAGGAACGUUGAAGACGACGACGUUGAUAGGCCGGGUGUGUAAGCGCAGCGAUGCGUUGAGCUAACCGGUACUAAUGAACCGUGAGG